rnacentral:lncRNA from 10 species
GGAAGGCCGUGAAGCCAUUGUCAGAAAUUUGUCCUUUAUCCUGACUGAGCAGAAGAAACACUGAAGGAUUUUGAGCAGAGGCAUGUCUUGAUUUCAUUUCAUUUUUAGAGGUAUAGAUAAUUCAGGCUGCUAUUUUGAGACUCGACUGAGAAGAGGUGUGUACUGGUUUCUGACAACUUCUGAAGAUUGCGCCAUUGGACUAGAG